rnacentral:misc_RNA from 1 species
UUUACUAAUAAUUUCAAAAUCAUACAAUUAAAUCAGGCAAGAAUUACUCAUUUUUACACUGUCAUAUAAGCAAUAAAAUAUUGAACAAAAGAAAUUAUAGAUAAAAGUUUUGAAUUCCUGAUAAAGUGAUUUUGCAUUUAGUUUCUGAAAGUAAUUCCAAACAAAAUGUUGAGUUCCAACAAUAAAAAAAUACUCCCUUUGAAUUGAGCUUUCAGUAUGUAAUUGUUGUCUAUAUCUACUCAAGCCAAAAGUUUGCCUCAAAUUAUAUUCCAAAUCAGUUAGUUUAAAUUUUAAUCUUAAUUUUUGAGCACCACAGAACUUGUGUAUGUAGA